rnacentral:lncRNA from 1 species
CCGCCCCGACCAAGCCCGCAGCUCGCCCCCCGCUCGCCGUGCCUGCGCCCACCGGGGCUGCUCGACCGACCACCGUGCUGCACACCCACCGUCACCUCUGCUUGCCCGGCCGCCGCGCGCACUGCCCUGCUUGCCGCUGUCGCCCGCCGUCGUGCACUGCUCGCCCGCCUCGCACUGCCCUUCUCACCCCUCCUAGCGGAGAACUGCGUCGGUAGCCUCGACAGAGCACACGGCGUCCUGCACCGGCAGCCGCGUCGGGGCUGUGCAUCGAUGGCCUCGUGGUCGCGUUGGUCGCGGAGGCUUCAUCUUCUGUCGCUGUUUUAUGGGUCCAGGGCGGAGAAGCGCGGACGGAGUGAGC